AUGCUGCUGCUGGCAGCACUGGUAGCCACAACCACUUGGUCUCAUGGAUUUGCCCAGGAAAUUCCCACACAGACCCCUAUAUCCAUCACCAAAUCUCAAGGAACAACACGUCUGAAAUGUCAUUUUAAACAUGUCUCUGAAGAUUUUGAUAACACUGCGAUAUAUUGGUACCAACAGAAGGAGAAUAAAGCUCCGGAGUGGAUGUUUUUCAUUUCAUCAGGGGCAAAAAAAUUAGAUGAGAGCUUCCGAGGGCGCAUGUAUACAAUUGAAAGGAUUUCUAGACAGAAAAUUUGUACUCUCACAAUAAGCAAUAUAAUUCCAGAUGACACAGCUACCUACUACUGUGCCUACUGGGACUCUCACUACAGCAGAAACCCAGCGAUCACCUCAACCAAUUCCCCCUCGGUGUCUCAACCACAAACAGUUUGA